AUAUUAUACCAUCAUUUUGAUUUGAUCAUUUCUACGAGAGUUAUGGAACUUUGACUAUUUUUUUGGAGUAUUUUUACCAAAAACACCUUGUUGUUGCAACUCCUCUGUCAGAGAACAUUAGACAGAAAGCUCUUACACUUGGUACUAUUUUUUCCUGUUGUGUGUAGUUGACCACAUUUUUACUUUUAUGGAAAUGUAAACAAGUGGAAAAAUAUUUUUGGGAACAAUGUUAGUUAUUUGUUAAAAAGGUGGAUAUUUGAAUUAUUGUCUGUUUUUAUACGACUGCAAAAGAUUUUGGGGUCGUACAAUGCUAUCAUGUCGUCGUUGUUGUCUUCCGAAGACAUUUGGUUUCCCGACAAUAACUUUAGUUUAAGUGUAUGGAUCUCUAUGAAAUUUAACCAAAAGGUUCAAUACCACAAAAGGAAGGUUGGGACUGUUUUUGGGGGUGAUGGUCCCAACUGUUUAGGAACUAGGGGCCCAAAACAAGCAUUUUUCUAGUUUCAGGACAAUUGCUCUGAAAUUUUACCACAAGGUUCAAUACCACAAAAGGAAGGUUGGGAUUGAUUUUGGGGGUUAUGGUACCAACAGUUAAGGAAUUAGGGGCCAAAAAGGGGCCAAAAAUAAGCAUUUUUGUAACUUUCAGACAAUAACUUGUGUGUAAGUGUAUGGAUCUCUCUGACAUUGUACCACAAGGUUCCAUAUCACAAAGGGAAGGCUGUAAUUGAUUUUGGGGGUAAUUGCCUCAAAAUUUUAGGAAUUAGGGGCCAAAAAAGGGGCAAAAAACAAGCAUUUUUCUAGUUUCAUGACAAUAACUUGUGUGUAAGUGUUUGGAUAUUUCUGAAAUUGUACUACAAGGUUCCAUAUCACAAAGGGAAAGCUGGAAUUGAGUUUGGGGGUAAUUGCCCGAAACGUUUAGGAAUUGGGGGCCAAAAAGGGGCCAAAAAUAAGCAUUUUUCUAGUUUCCAGACAAUAACUUGUGUUCAAGUGUAUGGAUCUCUCUGAAAUUGUACUGCAAGGUACCAUACCACAAAGGGAAGGCUGGGAUUGAGUUUGGGGGUGAUGAAUCAUAAGGGGGUUCAAAAAAUUUGGGGGGGGGGAUUUUUUUUUUUUUUUUUUUCUUUUUUUCCUUUUUUUUACUUUUAAAAUUUUCCAUUUUAAGUUGGUUAUUUCUGAUUUAUAUUUAAAAGCAAAUAAUAAUGAUAUGGUAGGAGAUACACACCAAACAGGAUGUGUAAAUUAUUAUAUAAUAAGUAUUGUGCAAUAGCAAGAAAUUUUCAAUUGCACAGUAUUGCACAAUAGCAAGAAAUCUUCAAUUGCACAGUAUUGCGCAAUAGCAAGAAAUCUUCAAUUUAACAGUAUUGCGCAAUAGCAAGAAAUAUCCAAUAGCACAAUAUUGCGCAAUAGCAAGAACUUGUCAAUUGUACAGUAUUGCGCAAUAGCAAGAAAUAUUCAAUUGCACAGUAUUGUGCAAAAGAAGAUACUUCGUAUAAAUUGCUUAUUUCUUGAUCAAUUUCAAUGGGGUUUUAUUCUUGAAUUCUUGGGGUUCUUUAAUAUGCUGAAUCUAACCGUGUAUUAAGUUUUUAGAUUUUGGGCCCCGUUUUUAAAUUGGUCCACAUUGAGGUCCAAAGGGUCCAAAAUUAAACUUUGUUUGAUUUCAUCAAAAAUUGAAUUAUUGGGGUUCUUUGAUAUGCCAAAUCUAACCGUGUAUUUAGAUUUUUAAUUUUGGGUCCUGUUUUUUAAAUUUGUCUACAUUAAGGUCCAAAGGGUCCAAAAUUAAACUUAGUUUGAUUUUAACAAAAAUUGAAUUCUUAGGGUUCUUUGAUAUGCUGAAUCUAAACAUGUGUUUAGAUUUUUGAUUAUGGGACCAGUUUUCAAGUUGGUCCAAGUUGGGGUCCAAAAUUAAACUUUGUUUGAUUUCAACAAAAAUUGAAUAUAUGGGGUUCUUUGAUAUGCUGAAUCUAAACAUGUAUUUAGAUUUUAGAUUUUUGGCCCAGUUUUCAAGUUGGUCCAAAUUGGGGUCCAAAAUUAAACUUUGUUUGAUUUCAACAAAAAUUGAAUAUAUGGGGUUCUUUGAUAUGCUGAAUCUUACCAAGUAUUUAGAUUUUUUAUUUGUGGGCCCGCUAUCAAAUUGGUUCAUAUUGAGGUCGAAAGGGUCCAAAAUUAAACUUUGUUUGAUUUCAUCUAAAAUUGAAUUAUUGGGGUUCUUUGAUAUUCCAAAUCUAACCGUGUAUUUAGGUUUUUAAUUUUGGGUCCUGUUUUUUAAAUUGGUCUACAUUGAGGUCCAAAGGGUCCAAAUUAAACUUAGUUUGAUUUUAACAAAAAUUGAAUUCUUGGGGUUCUUUGAUUUGCUGAAUCUAAACAUGUGUUUAGAUUUUUGAUUAUGGGCCCAGUUUUCAAGUUGGUCCAAGAUAGGGUCCAGUAUUUAAACUUUGUUUGAUUUCAACAAAAAUUGAAUAUAUGGGGUUCUUUGAUAUGCUGAAUCUAAACAUGUAUUUAGAUUUUUGAUUAUGGGCCCAGUUUUCAAGUUGGUCCAAAUUGGGGUCCAAAAUUAAACUUUGUUUGAUUUCAACAAAAAUUGAAUAUAUGAGGUUCUUUGAUAUGCUGAAUCUAACCAUGUAUUUAGAUUUUUUAUUUGUAGGCCCCGCUAUCAAAUUGGUUCAUAUUGAGGUCAAAAGGGUCCAAAAUUAAACUUUGUUUGAUUUCAUCGAAAAUUGAAUUAUUGGGGUUCUUUGAUAUGCCAAAUCUAACCGUGUUUUUAGAUUUUUAAUUUGGGUCCCGUUUUUUAAAUUGGUCUUCAUUGAGGUCCAAAGGGUCCAAAAUUAAACUUAGUUUGAUUUUAACAAAAAUUGAAUUCUUGGGGUUCUUUGAUAUGCUGAAUCUAAACAUGUGUUUAGAUUUUUGAUUAUGGGCCCAGUUUUCAAGUUGGUCCAAGUUGGGGUCCAAAAUUAUACUUUUUUUGAUUUCAACAAAAAUUGAAUAUAUGGGGUUCUUUGAUAUGCUGAAUCUAACCAUGAACUUAGAUUUUUUAUUUGUGGGCCCCGCUAUCAAAUUGGUUCAUAUUGAGGUCAAAAGGGUCCAAAAUUAAACUUUGUUUGAUUUCAUCAAAAAUUGAAUUAUUGGGGUUUUUUGAUAUUCCAAAUCUAACCGUGUAUUUAGAUUUUUAAUUUUAAGUCCCGUUUUUUAAAUUGGUCUACAUUAAGGUCCAAAGGGUCCAAAAUUAAACUUAGUUUGAUUUUAGCAAAAAUUGAAUUCUUGGGGUUCUUUGAUAUGCUGAAUCUAAACAUGUGUUUAGAUUUUUGAUUAUGGGCCCAGUUUUCAAGUUUGUCCAAGUUGGGGUCCAAAAUUAAACUUUGUUUGAUUUUAACAAAAAUUGAAUAUAUGGGGUUCUUUGAUAUGCUGAAUCUAACCAUGUAUUUUGAUUUUGGACAUUGGACCAUAAUAGGUAAAUUAAAAAAAUUCAAGUUCUUAGACCACAUUCUUUCUGUGUCAGAAACCUAUGCUGUGUCAAAUAUUUAAUAACAAUCCAAAUUCAGAGCUGUAUCAAGCUUGAAUGUUGUGUCCAUACUUGCCCCAACUGUUCAGGGUUCGACCUCUGCGGUCGUAUCAAGCUGCGCCCCAGCGAAGCAUUUUAUUUA